ensembl:snRNA U6 U6 spliceosomal RNA
AUGCUCUUUUCAGCAGCACAUAUACUAGAAAUUGGAAUAUACAGAGAUUAGCAUAGUCUCUGUGCAAGGAUGACACGCCAAUUUGUGAAGCGGUCCAUAUUUGG